GCUGGGCAUGGUGGUCAUGCCUGUAAUCUCAGCAGCUCAGGAGGCUGAGGCAGGAGGAUCGUGAGUUCAAAGCCAGCCUCAG
rnacentral:sRNA from 1 species